rnacentral:rRNA from 1 species
UACGAAGGGUGCUAGCGUUGUUCGGAAUCACUGGGCGUAAAGCGCGCGUAGGCGGCUUUUCAAGUCAGAGGUGAAAGCCCGGGGCUCAACCCCGGAAUUGCCUUUGAAACUGUAAAGCUAGAGUGUCGGAGGGGAUAGCGGAAUUCCUAAUGUAGAGGUGAAAUUCGUAGAUAUUAGGAGGAACACCGGUGGCGAAGGCGGGUCUCUGGGCAGUAACUGACGCUGAGGAGCGAAAGCGUGGGGAGCGAACAGG